ACUAAAUAAACAUGAUGACACAAACAGAUUAAAACAAACAUGGCGUGACAUAAUGUAGAUGUCCCUUUAGUACUGACUUCGUUUUUGCAUGGAAGCAUGAAUGUGUACCGUACCGUGCACGUAGACUUCUUCAUAAAACCCCGCCCUUCUCUUUCCACCAACAAACCCCAGCCAAAAAUUCUCAGCCAUUGAGAGUUUAAGAUUUCAUCCAAAAAAUGUUUUUUCAGAUUAUUCAGGAGGUUUUCACAGGCGUUGCGGCAUUAGCUCUAUUGGCAUUCGCUGGUAUAACCCUUGGUAGCUCAGCCGUGGCAUUAGCCGUAAGCACGCCGUUUUUUGUCCUAUUCAGUCCGAUUCUCGUGCCAGCAACUAUAGCCACCACUUUGUUAACUACGGGCUUGUCGGCCACCGGCGGCCUCGGUUUAACGGCUAUCCGCAUCAUCUGGAAGCUCUACAAGCGUAUUAAGGCGAAGGGAGGGUCAAAAAUUCCGGGAUUGGCCCCGGGGGCUCCAGACUCUAAGCCAGCGUCUGGGGGGUAAACGAAGUAGGCCUUUCGUAGUAUGAGAUGAUCUAAGGGGGAAUUAAAUGAGAAUUAUUGGGGUUCCUUAAAUAAAGCCUAAAAUUAUCCAUUCUCUUUAAUAUAAUACUAAUUACACGCGGAUGAACCUAAUGUUUCAAAUACCAUUCUUCAUAUGUAUAUCGUGUUACGAAAUUAUAAUAAAUGUACUCGAUUGUGUUGUAACGAA